GAACGGUAGCAGGCUUUCGGGCGCUGACGAGUGGCGGACGGGUGAGUAACGCGUAGGCAUCUGCUGGUAGUGGGGGACAACGUGGGGAAACUCACGCUAAUACCGCAUACGCCCUACGGGGGAAAGCGGGGGCUCUUCGGACCUCGCGCUAUCAGAUGAGCCUGCGUUAGAUUAGCUAGUUGGUAGGGUAAAGGCCUACCAAGGCGACGAUCUAUAGCUGGUCUGAGAGGACGAUCAGCCACACUGGGACUGAGACACGGCCCAGACUCCUACGGGAGGCAGCAGUGGGGAAUAUUGGACAAUGGGCGCAAGCCUGAUCCAGCAAUACCGCGUGUGUGAAGAAGGCCUUAGGGUUGUAAAGCACUUUCAAUUGGGAGGAAAACCUGCCGGUCAAUACCCGGUAGCUUGACAUUACCUUUAGAAGAAGCACCGGCUAACUCCGUGCCAGCAGCCGCGGUAAUACGGAGGGUGCGAGCGUUAAUCGGAAUUACUGGGCGUAAAGCGUGCGUAGGCGGUUCGUUAAGUCAGAUGUGAAAGCCCCGGGCUUAACCUGGGAACUGCAUUUGAAACUGGCGGACUAGAGUUGAGUAGAGGGGAGUGGAAUUUCAGGUGUAGCGGUGAAAUGCGUAGAUAUCUGAAGGAACACCAGUGGCGAAGGCGACUCCCUGGACUCAAACUGACGCUGAGGUACGAAAGCGUGGGUAGCAAACAGGAUUAGAUACCCUGGUAG
rnacentral:rRNA from 1 species